UUUUUCAAGUUCUUGCCACCAUCUACAGGGAUGACAGAGAAUAUUCAAGGAAGAUCUAUGAUGUUCGCAACACUGAGCAUCUUAUUGAAAAAGCAUCGGCAGAACAACUUGGAUAUGUUGUAGUGAGAAUUCUGAAAUUCAACCCACAGUUUCAGGAAUUUAUUGACGUAGAUAGGAAUGUAGACAUCAGUAACUUUGAUAGAUUCCAGCUGUUCUUAUCAUGCAAAGAGACUGAAUCAUCUCAGCCUAUGGCCACUGCAGUCUGCCAAGCUCAGCAUACUCAAGUUUCACAAGAGCAUUAAAAACUGAGGUCCCUAUUGGAAAAGAAAGCACCAGAGACACUUGAUGAACUCAAAACCAAAGGCACUGUGACAGAAAAAGCAAGAAUAAAGCUUGUUAAAGUAUGCAUAUCUGACCUGGUGGAAAAGCAUGGAUUUUAUCCAACAAGUACUGAAAAAGUGGCUCUAGCAAAGAACAUCAUCACUGUGUUCCCGU